CAAUUUGAUUACUGCUUUGCAAAAGAAUGAUAAAUACUUAGAAGCUGUUAAAUGGUCAUUGUGGAUGAAGCAGCUGGGGCUAUAAAGCGCACAGAUGUUAUGUACAUAUAUUUUACCUUUUUUGUAUUUGCGUCAGCAAUGCUGUCCCCAUAUUCAGAAGCAGCCUGGGUCAGAUGCUACUUGAGAUAGCUCAACAUUUUUGCCACCCUUGGUGAGAUUACAUCCAAUUCCACUAACUUAUCUCUCUCUCCUCACCAC
rnacentral:misc_RNA from 1 species